AUCUGACUAUAGAAAGAUUUGUCUACAACAGCAGAGCUAAAAGGAUUUUGAUCCAAGUUUGCACUGAGAUCAACGGUUGCGUUCUGAGCACAUAUACGCCUCAGCGAUGUUAACAACGCUAAAUCCAUUGUAGGAUCGGGUUUUCCUGUUUUCUUGAAGUUGUAAAGACGAUCUUUAAAUAAAGAACAAUGAGCGAUACCAAUCGAGUGACUUACCAAGAAGAUAGAUCAUGUCUGUGGCGGUUAGUCCUUUCAGAGCAAAGGUUCGAAUCGCACUCGAUACAGAUGAGGUAG
rnacentral:lncRNA from 1 species